AGAGAACGACUACUCUCUCCAUCGGUUAUCCGAAGGUGAGAAAUUGUCCCUUGAAGCAUCCCACGUAUCACUACAAAAAAAAAAAAAUUCAAUACCAAGAACAUUAUACCGACAACAUGUCUUCGGUAUAGAGAUUUCAUAUGAGCGGGACAUUUUCGCGGUUCUUAAUAGGUUUAGUUGCUAUACCGAGAACAUGUUCUUGGUAUAGGGUUUAUAAAUAUCUCCCUCAGCCGCGAAGCCCCUUCUCCUUCCUCUCUGAUUUCUCUCGGUUUUCUCCGAACCCUCCGCCUCCCUCCGCCGAAUAUCGUCAUUUUCCUCCGAAAAAACUCGGUUUUUAGCCCCAAAAUUGCCAAGGGUGAAGGAAUUUCUGUGUAUUUGUUGAAGGUUGGGUAUUCGGUUUUUGUUGGACUACAGAGAUUGCUAGCAAGAUAUUGACGGCAUUGAAACGUUCUGUGGUCAACAAGGAAAAUAGAAGGAAACUGAAAGAGCUUAGCUAUGGAGGUUCUCAGUCAAUCCCAGCCCUGCGCUAUAAAAAACGCAAUUUAGAGACUGGGCAACUUGAGUCCAUUCCGGAUAGCUGGAUGGAUACUCACCAUAAAUCAGGCACAGGGUGGGUGACAGAGACAGCAAAAAAUACUUGGGAGGAAUUGCGUGCAUAUCGCGACACACAGCAGACACAGGCAACUGAUACUGAGAGUUCCACACCAGUUUCGAGUGCGCCUGAAGAUGAAGACAUAUCUUUGGUACAAACUGUCUUCGAAAAACGGCGGGGCCACCAGAAAGGAUAUGGACGUAUCCUUAACAUAAGGGACCGAACUCCAUUUGAUUUUCGUCCUUCACAAACUAGAGAUGAAGAGUUGUCUGAAAUGAGAGAGCGUCUUUGAUAGUUAGAGGAGCAUGUCCGGACUCAUUGUAUCACCCCGGGAUCUCAAUCUGCCCCACCACCACCCGAUGAUCCCGAUGUUGGAGCACCGACUCAGUAGGACUUAUGUAUGAAUUUUAUUACAAUUGACUAUUACAUUAUCAUGUUUAACACAACUCUUUAUUUUGAUUUAGCGAACAUACUCUUUUGUUUUUAUUUAUAUGUUUAAUAUAAGUGUUUUAAUUUUAUUCUA